AUGAAUAGACACAGUGACAAUACAUUUGCCUCUAUUUGGGUAUAUUCGAAUUUUUCAAGUGAAAAAGUGUUGAAGAGCAAUUUUUAUUGCUUAAUUCAUACAAAUAUAUUGGUUAAUGAGGAAGAACAAAUUUUACCCAAAUUCCUAAAUUAUCUGAAAAAUCAUUACUUUCAAAACCAACAGAGAAUAAUGAUGUGGUCUAUUGUUAAAGAAUAUGAGCAGGUAUUCAUACAAAUAUGGCGAUAGAGAGUUUGAAUAAAUAUCCGAAAUCUAAUAAAAUAGAAGGAAAAGAAAAUAAGAGUUGACAAGCUAUCAGAUUUGUUGGAAGAAAUAGUUGAUGAGAAGAUGUGGAUGAAAAUGAUGAGAAAUGAAAGACCUAACUCCAACAACCAUCAACAAAAAAUUUUAGAAUUUAGAAUUUUAGAAAUUUAGAAUCUCAUAAAAAAGCAGAAACAAUGAAAGACUUAAUAGAGGAGGUCUGUAUAUGAUGAUAAAUAUUAUAAUACACAAUUUAUAUCAUCAUGUGAUCCAGAUUGUGGUUUAGGAUAUUGUAGUCAUUGUUAAAUAUGCUUGCACAAAUAUAAAUGUGAGUGUUCCACUAAUAGCAUCAAAGUUAUAUUGUGCAAGCAUUUGCAUGCUGUUACUAUGUUCGGACAAAGAAUAAAUUCUGUUUAAGAUGACGACAACAAUUUAGAAAUUAAUGAGCCAUCAACAAGUUAACUAUAAUGAAGAUGUGGGACAUUUUAUAGAUGAAACCAUUUCUAGUUCACAAAAUUUCACAUCUAUAAGCAAUGACACAGAAAAUGAUUUGCUGAAAUGUGUAAAACAAUUGAAGACUCUCAAUGCAGAAGGAAAGAGGAGAUUAUUUGCAACUAUCAAUGGAAAAUUUUCCAAACAUAGGGUCAAUGCCAAGAACUAACAUCUAAGAAGUGAAAAUUGAGAAGCAAAUCUAUUUCCCAAGAAAAAAAAUGAAUAGAAUGCAUCUUCUAUGAAAAUGACUUUUCUCUAAAUUCAUAUUCUUUUUUCAUUUUUAGCAGAGACUACCAGAACUUCAUAGCAAAUAAUUUAGAACAUUGAAAUGAGAUUGACAAAAAAAUCGAGGUAAUAAAUUCUAACUGAACCAGCAUGUUACACAUAUAAGAGACGUACAAUGUUCAAAUGUGGAUAGAAGAACCAGUCAAUAUCAAAAUAAAAUAUGACAUACAUCCUUUACAUAAAUCAAUGAAAUUAAUAUAUUAUAUAAUAAUAUAAUAUAAUUAUAUAUAAUUUUGAACAACUGUAAGUUUUCUUACAAUAAACUACUUCCUGUAUUGA